rnacentral:lncRNA from 1 species
UUUUAUCCUCUUGAGAUUAUGGAAGUCAUUCAAACACCCAAAUAUGCAAACCUUCUUCUACAUGCAGUAUAAUUUAGAUAUCAUAUUGAAUCUUAAUCUUCUCAAUCAUUAACUGCUAUCUUCAUGCUGUAUCAUUGAUUCUGAUUAGAAUUAUUAUGCAAUUUACAAGUACUUGCAUUUUUCUUUUAAGUUACAAAUAAGGAACUAUAUCUACUUUCCUCUUUGUUGCUGUUCUUAAUUGCCAAACAUUUCUACUAGUAUGAAUCUUAAGGAGGUAGAUGUUAAAGAAAUUUUAAAAUAAACUUAGAAAAGGAUUAAGAUUCCAGUUCUGUGUUAGAAAGGAGUCAUAUGCUUUCACUCAGUCCUAGCAAAGGCAUCCUGAUUUCUUCCUACUCAUUAAGCCAAUUGAGUACAGUGUUCAGAGACUUUCAAAAUGUCAUAUGACUUUAAUUUGAUAUUUGUUUGUGUAUAUUUUGGGAAAGGUGUGCUCGCUAAUAAAUUUAAGACAGCAUGGCAGCAUUUUAUAUGUCUCAUAACCUCAAUGCUGUGAAAUAUUGUCAUGGUUACCUGCAAAGCAGCAGGAUGUAUGUGGGUGAAAGAUGAGGCUCUGGCAGCAUAAGAAUAGGCUGCAAACAGAAAGCAAAGACUAUGGACUAAGAGAGGAAGGUAGCGACAGGUGGGAAAAGUAUGAACAAGCCACUGUUUGACUGCUUUCAGGAGAAAAUAGCUCUGGUUUUGGUCAUGAUCUGAUACCGUUUCAAAAUGCUGUGUCUCUGAAAUUGGUAGCUGUAUGCAAGUACACCCCAAACAAAUCUUAAGAAAGUUAGAGUAGAUUUGUGUUAUGAAAGUAAUAAAAUUUAAGAAGUUUCCAGAGGACAUGGUGUCAUCCCCUGACUUCAGGCAUUUCAGGUUAUUGAACCACCCAAUCAUCUAGCUUGCAAACGUUAUUGAAUUUACUUAGAAGAGUUUAAUCACUUCCAUAUUUGAAGAGCUAGACAGUGCAAGUUUAUUUUCACCAUCUCCUGAAACACAAAAUAUUUCCUAUAAAUAUUGGUUCUUCUCUGUGCUCAGAUUUAUAAAAAUCUAAUUUUUAUUUUAUUUAUUGGUGGCAAGUUAGCCACAUUUUUUUCCUAUUUUUCACCACCUGUCUUAAAAGCAAUACUGUCCAAAACAAUUAAAAACUAGAUAACUAAAGCAUAAAUUCAACAGCAGUCUAUGCAAGCCUUGGUAAUCCAGUUUAAAUAGUAGAGAACAAGAACGAAUAGAACAGAAAGCUGGAGGGACGGCUCAGUGGUCAGCAUCACUUGCUGCACAAACAUGAGACAGCUUGGAACCCAGAGCCUAUUUCAAAGCUGGAUAUGGCUUCAGACAUUCCUGUAACACAGCAGUCACACUGGCAGAGUCAAGGAGAUCAUUAGCAAAAAAAAACAAACAUACACAAACAACCAACCAACCAACCAACCAAACACCUCUAACAACUGUAAGCUCCAGGUUACAGUUGAGCAACACACCCUGCUGUCUCAAAGGAACAAGGAGACUGAUAAUCGAACACUGAGACUUUCCUCUGGCUUCUGCACACCUGCACACAUCUGUUCACACAAUCCACACACACACACACACACACACACACACUCCACAAAAUGCAUACAGAAGAGCUAAUAGAUCAUGAGUUGUAUUAUUAGAAUUCUUACAAAGUGAGAAAAACAGAAUUUUAGAAAUUGCCAAAAACAAUUUAAUU